UUUUUUUUUUUUGCUGUUCUGGGUCUAGCCACCCUGCAGAGCUAUGGGACUCCAGGCUGGUACUGCGGAGUGUCUGCAAAGAGUCCUGUGAUGUGAUCUGUCUUCAGGUCUUGCAGCCAUGGAUACCAGCACCUGCUUCAGUGGAGGUAGCAGGGAAGUGAAGUGGACUCUGUAAGGGUCCUUGGUUGUGUAUUUGUUUAGUGUGCUGGUUUUGUUUUCGUUGGCCUCCAGACAGGAGGUGACGCUUUUAAGAGUACAUCAGCUGCAGUCCUAUAGGGAUGAUGCAAAUUUGCCCUAGGGACAACUGGUUAAGUAUUCAGGUUUCUCAGGCAGUGGGCAGGGCUAUAGAGCUACCAAGAGAUUAUAACCUUUGUCUUCAGCUGCCAGGGCAGGGAGCCUGCAGCAGUGAUUCUGUUCUUUCAGAGCGUCUGUGGAUUCCCUCUGCUUUUCUGCCUGCCUUGCCAUUGUCAACAAAUGGACCUGAUUACACUUGUACGGUUCAACUCUAGUUGAAAAGAAAAUAAGCCUCUGAACAAAUAAGCAUUUGUUCCUCCAGGUAGCCUGUGAUGCCACUGCAGUGGUGGAUGUUCCCUGAACACGCUGUGCAUUUUCUCACCUCAGGGUCUUCAGUCAAGCUGCUGCAUCUAUGUGGAAUUCCCUGUCUGUCUCCACCAACUGCCAAAUGCUUGCUGAUCUUUCAAGAUGGAAGUGAAAGGACACUACCUCUCCUAAGCUUUCCCUAGUGCCUUCAUGUACCACCAACCCCCAAGUCAAAAUUUACCUCCACCACCUCAGCACUUUCAUAACCUCUGCCUGACCUCUACUUUAGGACGAAAUAAAACUUAUCUUGUUCUAUUAACUGGAUGUAUAGGUUUAAUU
rnacentral:lncRNA from 1 species